rnacentral:rRNA from 1 species
CCUCGGCCCGAGUUGUAAUUUGCAGAGGAUGCUUCUGGCGCGGUGCCUUCCGAGUUCCCUGGAACGGGACGCCACAGAGGGUGAGAGCCCCGUAUGGUCGGACACCAAGCCUGUGUGAAGCUCCUUCGACGAGUCGAGUAGUUUGGGAAUGCUGCUCUAAAUGGGAGGUAAAUCUCUUCUAAAGCUAAAUACCGGCCAGAGACCGAUAGCGCACAAGUAGAGUGAUCGAAAGAUGAAAAGCACCUUGAAAAGGGGGUUAAAUAGUACGUGAAAUUGUUGAAAGGGAAGCACUUAUGACCAGACUUGGGCCGGGCGGCUCAUCAGGGGUUCUCCCCUGUGCACUCCGCCCGGCACAGGCCAGCAUCGGUUCUCGUGGGGGGAUAAGACCGUCAGGAACGUAGCACCCUCCGGGGUGUGUUAUAGCCUGGCGGACGAUACCCCCGUGGGGACCGAGGUCCGCGCUCCGCAAGGAUGCUGGCGUAAUGGUCAUCAGUGACCCGUCUUGAAACACGGACCAAGGAGUCGUCCAUUAGAGCGAGCGUUUGGGUGUAAAACCCGCACGCGUAAUGAAAGUGAACGCAGGUGAGAGCUUCGGCGCAUCAUCGACCGAUCCUGAUGUUCUCGGAAGGAUUUGAGUAAGAGUUUUAACGGACGGACCCGAAAGACAGUGAACUAUGCUUGUAUAGGGUGAAGCCAGAGGAAACUCUGGUGGAGGCUCGCAGCGGUUCUGACGUGCAAAUCGAUCGUCAAAUAUGAGCAUGGGGGCGAAAGACUAAUCGAACUGUCUAGUAGCUGGUUACCGCCGAAGUUUCCCUCAGGAUAGCAGUGUUGAUCUUCAGUUUUAUGAGGUAAAGCGAAUGAUUAGGGACUCGGGGGCUAUAUAUUGCCUUCAUCCAUUCUCAAACUUUAAAUAUGUAAGAAGCCCUUGUUACUUAAUUGAACGUGGGCAUUCGAAUGUACCAACACUAGUGGGCCAUUUUUGGUAAGCAGAACUGGCGAUGCGGGAUGAACCGAACGCGGGGUUAAGGCGCCAGAGUGUACGCUCAUCAGACACCACAAAAGGCGUUAGUACAUCUUGACAGCAGGACGGUGGCCAUGGAAGUCGGAAUCCGCUAAGGACUGUGUAACAACUCACCUGCCGAAUGUACU